AAAUAGACACGAAAGAAGACAAUGGAAUUAAGUUUGAUGAACAGAAAGUUGUCGUUAACUUGUAACACACUGUGAUCGCGAACAACAUCAGAGAAAGAUUUAUUAAACACAGAAAUAAAACAUCAACACUGCCAUAUUGCCAUGCUAGUCAGUUCAAG